rnacentral:rRNA from 1 species
UACAGAGGUUGCAAGCGUUAAUCGGAUUUACUGGGCGUAAAGCGUGUGUAGGUGGUUAUACAAGUCGGUUGUGAAAUCCCCCGGGCUUAACCCGAACAGUGCACUGGAUACUGGGAGACUUGAGUAUGGGAGAGGAGAGCGGAAUUCCUGGUGUAGCGGUGAAAUGCGCAGAUAUCAGGAGGAACACCGGUGGCGAAGGCGGGUCUCUGGGCCGAGUGACUGACGCUGGAGGAGCGAAAGCGUGGGGAGGCGAACAGGA